GCCCUUGGCUGAUGAACUCCACACGCCCCUCCACUGCAAACUCGGGGUCCUCCGAGGGCAGUCGCCGCCUGGACACCUUCACUUUCACUGCUGCGAGAAAGAAACAGCAGGACUGAGCAGGAGAACAGGAGACAGCCUUGAUUCAGCACGAGCAAUUAAAACAUCACAACCUCUCGCAGUAUGCCCAAGCAGCAGCACGACUGUGGUCUGACCAACAAGCCAACUCUUCACUCUGGUGCAAGACUGAGACCUUGGACCAACAAGAACACCACCAACCUCUUGCUGGCAAGGCCUGCUGACGGAGCGCACUGCGUCGCCAUGCAGGAGACUGAGAC